rnacentral:rRNA from 1 species
UACGUAGGGGGCAAGCGUUAUCCGGAUUUACUGGGUGUAAAGGGAGCGUAGACGGAAUUGCAAGUCUGAUGUGAAAAUCCGGGGCCCAACCCCGGAACUGCAUUGGAAACUGUAUUUCUAGAGUGUCGGAGAGGCAAGUGGAAUUCCUGGUGUAGCGGUGAAAUGCGUAGAUAUCAGGAGGAACACCAGUGGCGAAGGCGGCUUGCUGGACGAUGACCGACGUUGAGGCUCGAAAGCGUGGGGAGCAAACAGG